AAGUUUCAUUUGUCAGUGUGGGACUGCUGAGCCACCUGAAGAACUCAUUUCAUUCAUUCUCCACGAUGUUGAUUUACAGAAAUGUUUCACAGGAACUGAUUCCUCCCAAAGGGUGAACUAGUGUGUUUCCAUAGAUUAUCUCUGUAUGAAUGUACUUCUUAAAUGAAGGCAAGUGUUUGUCCUGUUUUGUUCCUCAGGUACAGUACGUGAUAUUCAGGGCAGGCGGUCAUCACCAGGGGAAGACAAGAAGCAGACGUACUUCCAAGAGGGGGCUGCAGUGAGGACACAGCCUGGUCACUGAGGAGGCGCUGAAAGGUUUCCCUAAUAGUUCCUGGUGAAUCAAAGCAGGACCAUAAAGGUUGCUGGACUGCAUGAUGGCCUUACCCCUGAGCAGUCAUCCUGUUAAAGGAGGAACCAGUUAGAAGCUGUUUUCAAAGUAGCUGAGCAGAUUUCACCUCAAGUAAACGAUUAACUGUUUGUUUGUUUGUUCUGCCACUUAAAGAACAUUUAAGGACGUCUUUUGAGUGUCCAGUUGAAUUAAUUCUACUGGCUCUCAUGGUCAUUUGUGAUUAUGGACAUAUUUUUCAUGUUCAUCCAGCUGUUUAGUAAAUUCUAUCUAUUUAGUAAUAUCUGUCAGCUAUAAAAUAUAAUAUAAAUAUAAAAAUAUCUAAAUAUCUCCUGCUCCUUAUAUUUUAAUGAUGUAAGACCAGACGUCUGUUAUCCUGUUACAUUAGCAUUCCUCACAUAUCAAUGAGAUGCUGUACAGUACAAUCCUACAGACACAUGAGAGGGAUAACGACGGCUAUUCAACAUCGUUACAUGACACAGUCGAGCUGCAUGAUGCAGGCAAAGUGACUAAAUCAUCUUUUUUGUGGUUUAUUGUCUUCAAACCAGCAGACAAAGCCGAUAGCAGAAGAUGUUUGGAGAAGAACUUCAGGCCGUGGACUGAAAAGUAGAUCAAAGCAGCUCGUGCUCUGUCUGCUUCCAUUCUGAUGGCAAGAAGAAGAAGAAGGAUGUUUCAGCGAAGUGGCGUUCAUGGGUCGUGUCCAAAUUCAUGGGCUGCAUCCUCCUGAGGACCCGGCCUGAGCGGUCUACGUGGGCCGGGUCCUCAGAAGGUCGGGUAGGCCGGAAGUAAACGGCUGUGAAAUUGGACGGUCUAGCCUUCUGAUUAACGUCAUCGCUGUGUCGGUGGAGUUUAAUAAACUCGGCCGUCUGCUCCUUGCUAUCUAAAAUAUAACAGGACACUGGCAUAAAUUCUCGACCAUCUCACACUUCUGUUUAAUCAGUUUUCUGUUUGACGUUUAUUCAGCUGUGUGAAAACCACCCGGGGGAUUAAUAAAGUUUUAUUUUAUCUAAUCUAAUAUCUUUAAUCUCAGCCAAACCGAUUUACUCACGAACAAAUAAAACACUGAAAAAAGCCAAACAAUAACAUUUUUAGGUUGUCUAAGUGACUUAUAUAUUACAUUUAACCUGAGUAGCGAAAGUCCGCAGUGAUCUGAAAAUGAUGUGCCGGGAGUUGUGCCAUUCUCGGCGGCUUCAGUGGCCCUGGAGCUCCCGGCUAGCUAUCGAGCUGGUGGGUAACAGACGUCUCCGAAAACGUCGAAGCAUAUCUUGAUAAACCGAGCAGAUAUUUGAAGUUUAUACAGCUACAUUCUCGCCUGAAAAUAUGUUAAAAGUUUAUUUUGUGACCCAGAAAGAUUAAUAAGAGUAAUUUUAAAACUUAGUAGCGGCCGCCAUUGCCGGAAACUGGAGUUUGGCUGGGC
ensembl:lncRNA